UCUUCCCUCUGGCGGCGUGCCUAAUACAUGCAAGUCGAGCGAACAGACGAGGAGCUUGCUCCUUCGACGUUAGCGGCGGACGGGUGAGUAACACGUAGGUAACCUACCUAUAAGACUGGGAUAACUUCGGGAAACCGGAGCUAAUACCGGAUAAUAUUUCGAACCGCAUGGUUCGAUAGUGAAAGAUGGCUUUGCUAUCACUUAUAGAUGGACCUGCGCCGUAUUAGCUAGUUGGUAAGGUAACGGCUUACCAAGGCAACGAUACGUAGCCGACCUGAGAGGGUGAUCGGCCACACUGGAACUGAGACACGGUCCAGACUCCUACGGGAGGCAGCAGUAGGGAAUCUUCCGCAAUGGGCGAAAGCCUGACGGAGCAACGCCGCGUGAGUGAUGAAGGUCUUCGGAUCGUAAAACUCUGUUAUUAGGGAAGAACAAACGUGUAAGUAACUGUGCACGUCUUGACGGUACCUAAUCAGAAAGCCACGGCUAACUACGUG
rnacentral:rRNA from 1 species